rnacentral:sRNA from 1 species
UUUUAACCUAGUUUUAUUUCAGCAGCCUUGUGUUCUAGAUUUUUUAUAAUCCGGAUUUCUCUUUAUCAAUUCAGUAUUCAGCUUCUGUUCUUGAUUUUUGUUUACUGUUGUUCAUUCUGUUAUCAUACUACUGUUACACUGCUGUUAUCAUGUCUUCAACCUGUUCAACGUUUAUACUUUCUGUUAUGAUGUCUGAGUAGUGAAUAGGUUUCUGAGGAUGGGUUAGAGUAGUGUAGAAUUCUCAGUAUGCUAGGUGAUUGAGUAUUGAUUGAUAGAUCCCUUCUGGAUUAGUUGUUCUUAAUGCCUAUUGCUUUCUGAUCAACUGGAAUUUGAGCCCAGACAUUUCCGCGCCCAAAAGGUGUUCGAUGAAUUGUCUGAACCACUAAUUCCAGAGAUUCGUGACCCUGUACCAAGGUAUUGGUUGCAGGGAGCGUUUUGGCUUUAACUUGUUGAUUCGUAAUGCCUGUUAGGUUAGCUCUCGUCAAUGGUGAUUGAGUCUGGGACUAGGUUAGCUUGAGAGUCUCUGUUGCGGUGGCACUUAGAUUUGGUUAAUGAACUUGUUGUCUAGGGUUAAUUUAUUGAGCAUGUCAAUCACCUGUAAACUGAGGAAACGAAACUACUCAAUUACCCCAUCCUUAGGAAUUUUUUGUCUGAUUGAUUUUAUUGUUUACUCUACUGUUGUUUACUGCAUCCUGUCACCUGUUGCUUAGUUUCUGCAAUUCUUUACUGUUACUCGACCUGAUACUCGACCACCCAGUUGUCUGGCAACAGACUGUGCAGUCGAGUAUCUUUGUUUCAUUUUCUUUACUGUUACUCGACCUGUCACUCGACCUCACCCAGGGCUCUGCAAAGAGCUGCGUUGGUCGAGUGUUUUACUGUUUCUGUUUGAUUUUCUGUUUCCUGCUUGUUCACUUAGGAUUGCUAUAACACACCAAAACCUGUUAUUGCUUGGCUUGACUUAGUGACUUCUGAUCACAUCUUGAUUGUUAGCAUCACACCCAUUUGGAUUGACAACCUAAAAUACUACAACGACAUGAUUGGUGUUUUAGGAUAAUUGACUGAAAAACCUAUUAUCAAUUUGGCGCCGUUGCCGAUUGGGUGUUUGUUUGUUACAUUUGAGAUUUCAGACUUGCUUAGAUCAAGUUCUUUUUCAAUUUUCUUUUCAGUUACUUACUGUGUGUUUUUCUUGUUGUCUUCUUGAUCCAGGUACACCUCUACUGUAUGCGAACUCGAUCAACAGGCAACCAGAACCUCCUUUUCAACGACAACAUCAACCGCACAGCCCGCGAAAUCAGAAAAAGGAGAACCACAGUCAACCCUGUACCUCAGCAACCACUCGUUAUGGCUGAAGAACAGAAUCAGCAAAAUGGCCAUGCCAACAUUGGUGCUGGAGAUGCACCACGUGAUCACCGUCAGAGGAAGGGAAUCGCACCUCCUGCUAUCCAGAAUAACAACUUCGAGAUUAAGAGUGGUCUCAUCUCGAUGAUUCAGGGGAACAAAUUCCAUGGUUUGCCAAUGGAGGAUCCACUCGACCACCUUGAUGAAUUCGAUAGGCUCUGCAACCUAACGAAGAUCAAUGGUGUCAGUGAAGACGGAUUCAAGCUCCGUUUGUUCCCAUUUUCCUUGGGUGACAAAGCACAUAUCUGGGAGAAGAAUCUGCCCCAUGACUCAAUCACUACCUGGGAUGAUUGUAGGAAGGCUUUUCUGUCAAAGUUCUUCUCCAAUGCCAGAACUGCAAGACUCAGAAAUGAGAUUUCUGGUUUCUCACAGAAGACUGGUGAAAGCUUCUGUGAAGCAUGGGAGCGUUUCAAGGGUUACACCAACCAAUGCCCUCAUCAUGGCUUUACUAAAGCCUCUCUUCUCAGCACUCUUUACAGAGGAGUCCUACCACGCAUCAGAAUGCUUCUGGAUACCGCCAGCAAUGGGAAUUUCCAGAACAAGGAUGUUGAAGAAGGCUGGGAAUUGGUUGAGAACCUUGCUCAAUCAGAUGGAAAUUACAACGAAGACUGUGAUAGGACCGUCAGAGGAACAGCUGACUCUGAUGACAAACACAGGAAGGAGAUCAAAGCGCUGAAUGACAAGCUGGACAUGAUUCUUCUUAGCCAACAGAAACAUGUGCACUUCCUUGUUGACGACGAGCAAUAUCAAGUCCAAGAUGGGGAGGGUAACCAGUUGGAAGAAGUAAGCUACAUCAACAACAACCAGGGUGGCUACAAAGGAUACAACAACUUCAAAACCAACAACCCCAACCUUUCCUACCGCAGCACCAACGUUGCUAACCCUCAGGAUCAGGUGUAUCCUCCACAGCAACAACAAAGUCAGAACAAACCUUUUGUUCCCUACAACCAAGGUUUCGUUCCUAAGCAGCAAUUCCAGGGAAAUUACCAGCAACCACCACCACCAGGGUUUGCACCUCAGCAAAACCAAGGUCCUGCUGCUGCUGACGCUGAUAUGAAACAAAUGCUACAACAACUACUUCACGGGCAAGCCUCUGGCUCCAUGGAGAUGGCAAAGAAGAUAUCUGAGUUACAUAACAAGCUGGACUGUAGCUACAAUGAUCUCAAUGUCAAGAUGGAAACACUGAAUACCAAAGUCCGUUACUUAGAGGGACAUUCUGCAUCUUCUUCAGCUCCAAAACAGACAAGCCAACUACCAGGCAAAGCAGUUCAGAAUCCAAAAGAAUAUGCUCAUGCUAUCACCUUGCGUAGUGGAAAAGCACUUCCAACUAGGGAGGAACCCAACACGGUCACUAAGGACAGUGAAGAUCAAGAUGGGGAGGAUUUAAGUCUCGAGAAAGAUCAAGCUGACAAACCACUCGACCAACCACUCGAGCGGCCACUCGACAGCGUUACUCGACCGACCACUCGACCUGUCAUCCCAGCAGCAUCACCAACUGCUCCAAGGCCAGUUGCUGUCAAAAACAAAGAAAAAGUCUUUGUCCCUCCUCCCUACAAACCGCAGCUUCCAUUUCCUGGCCGUCACAAGAAAGCGUUGGCAGACAAAUAUAGAGCUAUGUUUGCCAAGAACAUUAAGGAGGUUGAGUUGCGGAUACCUCUUGUUGACGCCCUAGCGCUAAUCCCAGACUCUCACAAGUUUCUGAAAGACUUGAUUGUGGAGAGAAUUCAAGAAGUGCAAGGGAUGGUGGUAUUGAGUCAUGAAUGCAGCGCUAUCAUACAGAAGAAGAUCAUUCCUAAGAAGCUUAGUGAUCCUGGUUCGUUCACUCUACCGUGCUCUUUAGGUCCAUUGGCUUUCAACAGAUGCCUAUGCGAUUUAGGAGCAUCAGUCAGUCUCAUGCCGCUAUCUGUCGCCAAAAGAUUGGGGUUCACUCAAUACAAGUCCUGCAAUAUAUCCCUCAUCCUAGCUGACAGAUCAGUAAGGAUUCCUCAUGGUUUGCUCGAAAACCUCCCAAUCAGGAUCGGUGCUGUGGAGAUACCAACUGACUUUGUAGUCCUGGAGAUGGAUGAAGAGCCCAAGGACCCGUUGAUUCUAGGGAGACCUUUCUUAGCCACUGCAGGAGCUAUGAUUGAUGUCAAGAAAGGGAAGAUUGAUCUGAACCUUGGCAAAGACUUUAGAAUGACCUUUAAUGUCAAAGACGCGAUGAAGAAGCCUACCAUAGAAGGGCAACUCUUUUGGAUCGAAGAAAUGGAUCAGUUAGCUGAUGAGUUACUGGAAGAGCUGGCAGAAGAAGAUCAUCUUAACAGUGCUUUAACCAAAAGUGGUGAAGAUGGGUUUCUGCAUUUGGAAACAUUGGGAUACCAGAAGCUGUUAGACUCCCAUAAAGCGAUGGAAGAAUCGGAACCCUUUGAGGAAUUGAAUGGACCAGCAACAGAGGUAAUGGUAAUAAGCGAAGAAGGGUCAACUCGAGUUCAACCUGCACUCUCGAGGACGUACUCAAGCAACCACUCGACCUUGUCUACCGACGAACCUAGGGAGCCGAUCAUUCCAACUUCAGAUGACUGGUCUGAACUUAAGGCACCGAAGGUUGAUCUCAAACCGCUUCCAAAAGGUCUAAGGUACGCGUUCCUUGGUCCAAACUCUACUUACCCUGUGAUCAUUAAUGCUGAGUUAAAUAGUGAUGAAGUGAACCUGCUAUUAUCUGAGCUUAGAAAGUAUAGAAGAGCAAUUGGUUAUUCGUUAUCCGACAUUAAGGGAAUUUCACCUAGUUUAUGCAACCAUAGGAUCCAUCUUGAAAACGAAUCCUAUUCCAGCAUUGAACCACAGAGGAGGUUAAAUCCCAAUUUGAAAGAAGUAGUGAAAAAAGAAAUUUUGAAACUGCUUGAUGCUGGUGUCAUCUACCCUAUCUCUGAUAGUACUUGGGUUUCUCCAGUGCAUUGCGUCCCUAAAAAGGGUGGAAUGACUGUUGUCAAAAAUGAAAAAGAUGAACUGAUCCCUACUAGAACUAUAACUGGUCAUAGAAUGUGCAUAGAUUAUAGGAAGUUGAACGCUGCAUCUAGGAAAGAUCAUUUUCCUUUACCAUUCAUUGACCAAAUGCUUGAACGUUAAGCUAAUCAUCCAUAUUAUUGCUUUCUUGAUGGAUACAGUGGUUUCUUUCAAAUACCAAUUCACCCUAAUGAUCAAGAAAAAACCACUUUCACGUGUCCUUAUGGAACUUUUGCCUCUAAAAGAAUGCCAUUUGGUUUAUGCAAUGCUCCUGCAACAUUUCAGAGGUGUAUGACCUCUAUACUUUCAGACUUAAUCGAGGAGAUGGUGGAGGUUUUCAUGGACGAUUUUUCGGUCUAUGGCCCCUCUUUCUCCUCAUGUUUGUUGAAUCUUGGCAGGGUAUUGACUAGGUGCGAAGAGACGAAUCUUGUUCUCAAUUGGGAAAAGUGUCAUUUCAUGGUAAAGGAAGGCAUAGUAUUUGGCCACAAGAUAUCAGAGAAGGGUAUAGAGGUUGACAAAGGAAAAGUUGAAGUGAUGAUGCAGCUGCAGCCACCAAAAACGGUGAAGGACAUCAGAAGCUUCCUUGGUCAUGCUGGAUUCUAUAGAAGAUUCAUUAAAGACUUCUCCAAGAUAGCCAGACCGUUAACCAGACUAUUGUGCAAGGAAACCGAAUUUGAAUUCGAUGAUGACUGCCUCAAAUCCUUUCAAACCAUCAAGGACGCUUUGGUAUCUGCUCCGGUUGUUCGAGCGCCUAAUU